rnacentral:tRNA from 1 species
GGAGGAUUGGCCGAGUGGCAAGGCACCGGUUUGCUAAACCGCGGUCGGGUGGAAAACGCCCGCGCACGUUCGAUCCGUGCAUCCUCCGCAA